GAUUAUCGGCUGAAGGAUGGGCCCGCGUCUGAUUAGAUAGUUGGUGGGGUAACGGCNUACCAAGGUCGACGAUCAAUAGCUGGUUUGAGAGGAUGAUCAGCCACACUGGGACUGAGACACGGNACCAGACUCCUACGGGAGGCAGUAGUGGGGAAUCUUGGACAAUGGGGGAAACCCUGAUCUAGCCAUGCCGCGUGAGUGAUGAAG
rnacentral:rRNA from 1 species